GAUGAACGCUGGCGGCGUGCCUAAUACAUGCAAGUCGAGCGAACGGACGAGAAGCUUGCUUCUCUGUUGUUAGCGGCGGACGGGUGAGUAACACGUGGAUAACCUACCUAUAAGACUGGGAUAACUUCGGGAAACCGGAGCUAAUACCGGAUGAUAUUUUGAACCGCAUGGUUCAAAAGUGAAAGACGGUCUUGCUGUCACUUAUAGAUGGAUCCGCGCUGCAUUAGCUAGUUGGUAAGGUAACGGCUUACCAAGGCAACGAUGCAUAGCCGACCUGAGAGGGUGAUCGGCCACACUGGAACUGAGACACGGUCCAGACUCCUACGGGAGGCAGCAGUAGGGAAUCUUCCGCAAUGGGCGAAAGCCUGACGGAGCAACGCCGCGUGAGUGAUAAAGGUCUUCGGAUCGUAAAACUCUGUUAUUAGGGAAGAACAUAUGUGUAAGUAACUGUGCACAUCUUGACGGUACCUAAUCAGAAAGCCACGGCUAACUACGUG
rnacentral:rRNA from 1 species